UUCUCGGACAUCUUUAUUGACUAGGAAGUUUUCAUUGUAUUGAGCAGGAUGUUUAGCCUUGUAAAUUCUUUCUUUCUACAUGAUAAUCUCUAAGGUAUUCGAAGAAAGCAGAAUCUCCUUCUCUAUGCUAAGUAAAGCUAUUUAAUUACAUGGUGUAACUCCAAACCUUAUGAUAGCAUAUUUAUCCCUAAGGUCAGCUCUGUUCAUGUUUUUUGUUUCCUUUUCAUGAAUAACUAUUAAAAAGGACAGUUGCAGAGGGCAAUGGCUAAAGGACUGCACUUGAUGUCAUGAAGAUCUUGCUUCAGGUCUCAUGUCUGACAACUACUGGCUGGGUGACCUUGGCUCAUUUUACAGAUGGGGAAACUAAGGAAACAGGGUUAAGUGACAGAGCUAGUAACUGAGGCUGGAUUUGAGACUUGCUUACUGUUCAUAUUACUUGGUUAACUCUGCCAGUCUACGACUGUAUCAUUCUCUUCACAUACAGAGAAAAAUGGAGACACCAAUGAAACCAUGCCAAACAUAUAGCAGCUGCUCUGUAAUUACUAGUCUAAUUGAAAAGGUCCAAAUUAUAUUUGGAACCAGAAUCUUUUCAUUCAAGUCACACAAUAUUUAGGAAAUGCCUACUAUGUACAAAACCCUGGGGACAAAGAAUGAUGAUAAAAAAGCAACACAAUUCCAUCCUCAAGUUGCUUAGAGUCUAAUGGAUGCUCAUGUGGUUUGCUGACAGAAAGGAGAAAAGUGGGAAAGAAAAGGGGCAGGGGAGAAUAUGAGACUGAAAGAUCCCAAGACCCUUCUUGGAAGGGAUACUAUUUGAACUGGGUCUUGAAGGAAGAAAAGGAUUUCCAAGUAUGAAUGUGGAUGGAUAGUAUGAAGGUGAGGCUACACAAAUAUUCAGAAGAGGGAGAAGACAAGAUUGGGAUGUACUUUGGCUUCAUGAAGGAAUUCAUGAAAGGAACUGACCACAGUAUGCUGGAAGAGUAUGAUUUAGCUAGAUCAUAUAUAAAAAGCUUUAAAUAGCAAGCUUUAGAAUCUGGGUCUAUUUAUUCCUCAUUCCAAUUAUCCUUUCUGUCCCUCCUAACAUUCCUUGGACUGGAAAGCUGUCUUAUACAAAGGAUUCUCUGCUAUACCACUCUUUGUUCUCCUAACAGCUAAAGGAUAAUCUCUUUUGUUGGGUCAUCUUUCUUCCUCUGAUUCUGCUUGGCACAGGAUGCUACAUACAUUAGGUAUUUUAUAAAUAUCUGUUGAGUCUCUCAUAGGCAAUAGAUAGUUUCUGAAAGAGGAAGUGGCAUGAUAUAUUAUGAUUAUUACUUGGCAGCUAUGUAAUGAAUAGAAAAAUGAAUUAGAGACUGGAGAAAAGAAGGGAGAAAAGUUAGAAGACUAUUAUGAUAGUCCAGGUGAGGGUCUAAACUGUAUUUAUUUGGAAGUUAUCAGGUAAUGAUGAUAAUUAUGCCAUGUAAGCUGCCAAGGAAGAGUACAGAAGAAAAAAAAGUCACCAAGUUUUGAAGAACAAAUUCACUUGGAAUUUGGAAGGAGGAAAAGUAACUAGCAAAGUAGACCAAUAAAGAGAUAUUUAACUAUGUUAUUGAUUUAGUUAAUAAGUUUUUUACUUAUUUAGUUAAGUGAUAAUAUAUGAGUAGGAUAAAAAUCAUGCAAAAGGAAGAGCAUAGAAACCAUGAGAGUAGAAUGUCCAUGAGGGGAGGCUGAUCAAGAAUAUAACAUGCUUCCAAGUUUCUAAGAAAAUUCCAAAUUUCUAAGAAAGGUGAAGACUGAUUGAAGGUCAUUAAAUUUAACAAUAAAGAAGUAACUUGAAAUGCAGGAGGAAGUAGUAUCAGCUGCCCGGUGAGGACAAAACUCAAUCUACAAGGGAUUAAGAGUAGCAAGAAAAUGGAGAUAGGGAUUAUAGACUCUCUUUUAUAAUUUAUCAACUAAAAAAGAAAGGACAUUGUGUAACAAUUUUGGGGGAAAGUGGGAAUCAAGGAAAGCAUUUUUUUCCAGAUUAGAGGUAACCUCACUAUAUUUCUAAGCAGAAAGCUAGGAACCAGUAGUGAAGGGGGAAAAGAUUAAAGAUGCAAAAGAGAAAUGAUGAAUGGAGCAAAGUGCAAGAAACACAAGUAAGGACAUAAUAAAAGAAAUAUCAGUGAUCUGCUUGCCCUCUGAGAUGGGAAGGAUGUGAAGAUGGAUGGAUGAAAGCAAAGGGAGAUAAUGUUGUGUUCUGCACAAGAGAUGCACAAGUUCACAGAUGGCCCUCCUAUCAUUAAAGCUGAAGUAAUCAAGUAUCCAGGAGGUGGUUGGGAGUGGAGUCAGAGGCUGGAGG